CGCGGCCUAUCAGCUUGUUGGUGAGGUAAUGGCUCACCAAGGCGACGACGGGUAGCCGGCCUGAGAGGGCGACCGGCCACACUGGGACUGAGACACGGCCCAGACUCCUACGGGAGGCAGCAGUGGGGAAUAUUGCACAAUGGGCGAAAGCCUGAUGCAGCGACGCCGCGUGAGGGAUGACGGCCUUCGGGUUGUAAACCUCCUUCAGCAGGGAAGAAGCGAAAGUGACGGUACCUGCAGAAGAAGCGCCGGCUAACUACGUGCCAGCAGCCGCGGUAAUACGUAGGGCGCAAGCGUUGUCCGGAAUUAUUGGGCGUAAAGAGCUCGUAGGCGGUCUGUCGCGUCGGAUGUGAAAGCCCGGGGCUUAACCCCGGGUCUGCAUUCGAUACGGGCUAGCUAGAGUGUGGUAGGGGAGAUCGGAAUUCCUGGUGUAGCGGUGAAAUGCGCAGAUAUCAGGAGGAACACCGGUGGCGAAGGCGGAUCUCUGGGCCAUUACUGACGCUGAGGAGCGAAAGCGUGGGGAGCGAACAGGAUUAGAUACCCUGGUAGUCCACGCCGUAAACGGUGGGAACUAGGUGUUGGCGACAUUCCACGUCGUCGGUGCCGCAGCUAACGCAUUAAGUUCCCCGCCUGGGGAGUACGG
rnacentral:rRNA from 1 species